CCCCGUGGCCCCCCCGGCUGGCGCCCCACGCCGGGAGCUGUUACCAGUUCGGCAGCGGCCGCCGCGGGGUGGGCGCAGGCCCAGGGGCUCUGCCGCGAGCGGGGCGCCCAGCUCGCCGUCGUCGGGGACCCCCAGGAGCAGGCCUUCCUGGCGGAGCUCUCCCCCCCCCCACGACUCCUGGAUCGGGCUCCACGACCGCAGCUCCGAGGGCUCCUUCCAGUGGGUGGGACGGGAGCCCCAGCACCUACCGGAACUGGCGCUGGGGGCAGCCGGACGAGGGCGGGGGGGGGCGAGGACUGCGUGGCCAUGGACCCGCGGGGGGGGGUGGGGGGACCGGCCCUGCGCCGCCUCCCCGGGGGGGUGGGUCUGCGAGCGGCCCUGGGCCUGCUGACCCCCCCCGGGACCCCCCCCGGACCCCCUGCUGACCCCCCCCCGGGACCCCCCCGGACCCCCUGCUGACCCCCCCCGCGACCCCCCCGCUCCCCCUGCUGACCCCCCCCGGGACCCCCCCGGACCCCCUGCUG